GACGAACGCUGGCGGCGGGCUUAACACAUGCAAGUCGAACGGAAAGGCCCUGCUUGUUUGGGGUGCUCGAGUGGCGAACGGGUGAGUAACACGUGAGUAACCUGCCCUUGACUUUGGGAUAACUUCAGGAAACUGGGGCUAAUACCGGAUAGUAGCUCCUGCGGCAUGGUGGGGGUUGGAAAGUUUCGGCGGUUGGGGAUGGACUCGCGGCUUAUCAGCUUGUUGGUGGGGUAGUGGCUUACCAAGGCUUUGACGGGUAGCCGGCCGGAGAGGGUGACCGGCAACAUUGGGACUGAGAUACGGCACAGACUCCUACGGGAGGCAGCAGUGGGGAAUAUUGCACAAUGGGCGGAAGCCUGAUGCAGCAACGCCGCGUGCGGGAUGACGGCCUUCGGGUUGUAAACCGCUUUCGCCUGUGACGAUGCGUGAGUGACGGUAAUGGGUAAAGAAGCACCGGCUAACUACGUG
rnacentral:rRNA from 1 species